CCUACGGGUGGCAGCAGUGAGGAAUAUUGGUCAAUGGCCGUAAGGCUGAACCAGCCAAGUCGCGUGAAGGAAGACGGAUCUAUGGUUUGUAAACUUCUUUUAUAGGGGAAUAAAGGUAUCCACGUGUGGAGAUUCGCAUGUACCCUAUGAAUAAGCAUCGGCUAACUCCGUGCCAGCAGCCGCGGUAAUACGGAGGAUGCGAGCGUUAUCCGGAUUUAUUGGGUUUAAAGGGUGCGUAGGCUGUUUUUUAAGUCAGCGGUGAAAGUUUGUGGCUCAACCCUAAAAUUGCCGUUGAAACUGGAAGACUUGAGUGUGUUUGAGGUAGGCGGAAUGCGUGGUGUAGCGGUGAAAUGCAUAGAUAUCACGCAGAACUCCGAUUGCGAAGGCAGCUUACUAAGCCAUAACUGACGCUGAAGCACGAAAGCGUGGGGAUCGAACAGGAUUAGAUACCCUUGUAGUC
rnacentral:rRNA from 1 species